rfam:Candidatus Nealsonbacteria bacterium RIFCSPLOWO2_01_FTLL_43_32 rifcsplowo2_01_scaffold_1906, whole genome shotgun sequence.
CGCGGGGUGGACCAGUAGUAGGUCGCGGGUCUCAUAAGCCCGAAGCCUAGGUGCAAUUCCUAGCCCCGCAA